rnacentral:lncRNA from 1 species
GAGGAUUUGUGUGUUCAGAGCAGCCUCAGCUGCAGUCCAUGAACCACCCUCUGGGCUUCUUGCAGUAAAUGGGUAAUGGAGCAGCUGUGGAAGUUCCUGUGGAUGAUCUUCAAACUCACCCCAGCAGUGUGACAUUCUCACCCACCUCACCUGCCUGCAGGUCACUGCCAGCCCCAUGAGGGAUGUGCCUGCUUUGGUUUCAGUUAAAGAACUAACCUAAAGUGGUGGAAAUGCUCAAGUUCUCCUUUGCAUCCAUGAGUUGCUGUAUGUGAUGAAGCUGCAGCCUGUCCCCAAGCCACAUUCUCCUGUUUCAGCUUACAGAACUGUCAAAGGCAGCGCUGAUUUCCAGUCUGACUGCUCAGCUCUGCUGUACCAUCCUCUCUUUGGCUGUGAUCCCUUUCAGAACAACCUGGUAGCAUUUGGAUCAAAGAACCAGGGACUGUCUGGGCUGAGUUCACUGGAUUCUGCAAAGGGAACUGGACUGGACCACCAAAAACCUCAGAGUGACCAAAGAGCUCAUGGCAGAAGGGCUCGAGAUGUGGGCACACUUGUUCAGAUCCCUGUGGAGCCAGUGGCAGCAGCGUGUGGCUCACUGCUGUGCCCAGAGAAACUGUAAAUCCAGAGGGAACAUGGACACAUCGUCACUGGGACACCUGAGAGGGAAAGUGAGUGUUGUUGGAGCUUGUUGGGGACUGGCCACGCUGCAGAAUGUCCCAAAUUCCUGCUGUUGUUACUGGCAAGCUUAAAAUAAACAAUGGGAAAACUCAGCUGAAGUUAAUGCA